GGGGCCAGGCGGGCGUUUAAAAAAAUGUCUCUGUGGCAGGAUCCGUGAAAGGAUCUUUCACUGCACUUAAUACAUAAGUCAUCAGCCAGGAGAGAGACAUCCUCGCCGGAGAGAGAAUACAGGAAGCAGCGAGAGAUCAGCGGUAUGUCAUGCUGCGCCGUCCCCAAUUCAGGCUGCAUUCUUUCCCUCCUCUCUUCCGCAAAUGUGGAGCAAAAUGAAGAAACUCG
rnacentral:lncRNA from 1 species